GACGAACGCUGGCGGCGUGCCUAACACAUGCAAGUCGAACGAGAUCCAUGGGAGCUUGCUCCCGGAAGAUCUAGUGGCGAACGGGUGAGUAACACGUGAGAAACCUGCCCUGGAGUGGGGAAUAACUCGGGGAAACUCGAGCUAAUACCGCAUACCCUCGGAUGGUCGCAUGGCCGACCGAGGAAAGAUUUAUCGCUCUAGGAGGGUCUCGCGGCCUAUCAGCUAGUUGGUGGGGUAACGGCCUACCAAGGCAACGACGGUAGCUGGUUUGAGAGAACGAUCAGCCACACUGGGACUGAGACACGGCCCAGACUCCUACGGGAGGCAGCAGUGGGGAAUCUUGCGCAAUGGGCGAAAGCCUGACGCAGGCAACGCCGCGUGCGGGAUGACGGCCUUCGUGGUUGUAAACCGC
rnacentral:rRNA from 1 species